rnacentral:lncRNA from 1 species
CAGAGAAAUGGCCAAGAAGUCAAGAAAGAUUUCAAACUGAAACCUCUUCAGUUUCCUGACAGCUUAUCUAUCCAGCAAAUUGACAGCUCAUCAGGUAGAGAGGCAUACAGCAUCUGCAGUUUAUUACACAAGUGGAGACAGGGAACCUCAGGCUUCCAACAGAUCUCCGGAAAGCUCAGUAGGAAAGCUCAGUCACUGAAUCUGUCUACUCCUUCUCCCAUCUCUUCAGCUCCCCUCCCCUCUGACACUCAAAACCAAGGCAUGAAGUUACAUCUCUCUAUUUCUUCCAUCAGAUACUGUGACAUCUGGAUGGAGUGACACCUGAUGACAGGAAGCACAACCAGAGAACUUACUCCAGCAUGGUGACUAUCAUGGAAGGAGAUUCUACUGCAAUCUCCAAUGGAAUGGCAGCACUG